AGUAAUAAUUUACUGUUAUGUGUUCAGAACACAAUACCUUUGUGUGGGUAGUCGAUCGUCGUAAUUUGAUCCCUGUCGGAAGAGUCUAAUCAUCGUAAUGCAGCUAUACAGUGUGUCUAACCUCUGUGGAUCAUCCACAUGAAGCUCCCGAUCUGAUCGGCUCCUCACAAAUGCUAGUUCGUGACUGCACCUUUUUGAUGGUCGAUGUUGAUCGAACUCCUUUGAUCGAUGUCUGUCGACUCCUCGGAUGCUUUGGAUCAUUAGCAAAGGUGGUAGAGAGGUGGAUGAUGCUCUCUCUGAAGUUUGGUGGGCUCACAACACUCGUAGCUCACGUUCUCACUUCUCGAACCCUAAGCCAAAACCUUAGGGUACACAAGAAAACUCUGCGCCCACUUUUAUUUCUUUUCAUUUCUUUUCUCUCGAAAG
rnacentral:lncRNA from 1 species